GGACACGGCGUGGAGGCAUCUGGCAGAGCUGGUGGAGCGGGGCAGCCUGCCCUGCUGCAGCUCCCCCAGGGCCCGAAGCGUGGAGCGGCAAAGAGCCUCAGCAUCGCAGUCAGGUGAGUCUUCUGUGGGUCAGCCCCAAAUCCCAUGCUUGCCCUGAUGCAUGCUAGGCAGGGAUGGGCCCAUUAGAGAAGCCCAACCCUGGAUCAGGACCUGGCAUGCUGGAGGUCGGCUGGCUGGGACAAGGGUGUCCCAGGUGCUCCGUCCUGCUGUGGCUCAGGUCCCCUUCCUGCUUUUCAGGUGCUAAGAGACAGACGGGUGGGCCAUCGAGCUCCAGCUGCAGCCGUUGCAGCAUAGCUGAUGAGAAGAUGCAGUAUCUGGUGCUAUCAGCACUGCCUGAUGACGUGCCCUCUCUGGGCCCUGACUUCUGGGACAUGGCGUGGAGGGAUCUGGCAGAGCUGGUGGAGCGGGGCAGUCUGCCCUGUUGCAGCUCCUUCAGUUUCUGGAGAUCUAUCAGAAGAAUGAAGGACUUAAUGUCCCUUAAUGUGCAUCAGGGAGCCUUGACAGAGCAGGUCCCUGUCUGUGCCCCUGGACGUACGCACACUGGCAAGGCCCACACAAAUUCCAGAACAGAGCCCAGCUGGUUGCGCUCUUUUCUGCUGCGUUGUCUGGGCUUUUCCUGGCAGGAAACGAAACCUGCCCAGACGAAGAAUCAAGGUGGCAAGGCAGCCAGCAGAACAGUAGGAGAUCCCACUGAGGACCGCUUUACCAGCUGGCCACCACCAGCAGAGGAAUGCAUUUUACGCGAGAACAUCCUUCUUCCAGACGGACGGCUGCCUCAGAGACCGGAUAAUCUGGUGCCCCCUCCAGAGCGGGCAGUGAAUCCACCAGCACUGCGUAGCAGCUUCCGCAACUCUGCAGGAGUGGCAACAAGAAGACCAGCUUCAACCCGCAGAGAUGUUGGUGUUGAGACUUCUGACAGAGAAGAGAACUCACAGUGUUGUGAGUAUUGUGCACAACGCAGAACUGAGAUGGGCAGUGGCAAGGAAAGGGGAAGAGCUGAUGAGUUGCAUGCUGGAACCAGCUCCUACACAGUGCCACCGCACCUGGGGACAGUCACACGUGAGAACAUCAUGUCAAUAGAUGCAGCUGUACGUUGGUGGGAGCAGAAGACACAGGUGGCUGUUGGACUCUCCAUGCAUCCACAAGAAGUUCCCAAAAAGCACAGGACAGUAAGACCACCACCAAUGGUGGCAGCACCUUCUCGCCUGGCUGCGCAAGAUGACUGCAGAAGUGCAGCCAGCCAGCGUCUGAACUCUGCCCUUGGGGGCAGGAGAGCCAGAGAGCAGCCCCCACAGAUUUGCAGCUGUAUGCACCCACCUGGGGAAGAGAGACUUCAUCAACCAAACCAGGUGCAAUGUUGGUGCGACAACAAUAAGGCCCAGAGGUCUUCUGAAAUGUCUGUGCCCAGCCAAAUGUUUUGGGAGGGCAGUGUAACAGUGAGAGCAAGAAGAAAUUCAGAGGAGGCAGUCUGGCACAGCAUGAUAAAGGUACGGCACCGGCAUGUGCAGUAGCCCCCCA
ensembl:lncRNA